UUUCUAAAAGGAAAUUAGAUAUUGUAUGGCAAGUAAAUUGUGGAUUAAAGCCAACUCUGAGCUUAAUUUCCCUCACUAUUGGGAUGAAUGGCAAAUAGAAGAGUAAGAAAUUCGUGCAAAUCUUAAAUGCUGUGUCUUUUUUUUUUUCAUUUGAAGAUAAGAGUAACGUCAGAGCAGUUAAAGCAGUGCAUUUGUUUGUUACAGUAUAUUUGCUUGUACAUAUAUGAAUCUCUCUUUCCAUGUGCUUACCUGCAGGCAGUACCCCAGCCAAUAGAGGAGCUUUCUAGAGACAGAACCAAACAGGAAACGUUACACUUUUUCGUCAUGCAGAUUCAGUUCAAAGUGCCUAUGGCUGAGGGAAUAAGACCAGCAGUGAUAAGAAUGAAAUAGCAAAGGCUCUGAAGCAGCAUGAAGCAAUGAACAAUCCUCACUUUGAAAACCUUAUAGCGAAGAAGCUUUCCAAUGCUGCUGUCAAAAUUGUCAUUCCCCACCAGAUGCCCUAACUUCCCACUGCUCCCCGCUGGUACUGCUGCCCCUGUUGUCUCUCCGUCCAAAGAGUUUCUGAACAAGAGACAAGCUUUUAUGGAGCCUGGCAAAGCUUCAGAAGGGAAAAGGAAAAAUCGAUACUGCUUCAAAGCCAAGUCUUUGCUUCAGUGAAUAUGACAUUUGCCCUUUCUUCACUAGGGGGAAAAACAACAAGGACACUUAGGCCAGCAAUGGAAAUAGAAUGAACAACAGAGAGACCUUCCAGGUUUGACAUGUAAAGGGAAAUAACUUUGUAGUUAUUGUCCCUGUUUGGUGACAUCAAAAACAGGUGUAGAGUGUAAGGCGGUGCAGGCUGAGAAUGAAGUGGAAAGUAACACAAAGUCAAAGAGAAGAGCUGAAGGAAUUUGGAACAAGUGAUAAUGGACUUGGCUGAAAAGAUGGAGAAUGAAAGACACUGCGCAAAGGUGAAGUCCAUUGUUGUACAAUCAAAUUAACUAUUAAAUGUCAGCUGCAAAGGUGCACUGUAAUAUUAAAAGGACCUUCCAGUAAGUUUUACACCAUUUUGACAGCUUUACAGCUACUGAAAAUGUCCAUAGAGCCUCACAGUUUGCUAAUUAAUGGCCUCUCUGUAAGGAUGAAGCAGUUCAGAAACUUUGAAAGAGAAGCUGGAAAUACCAAUUAAAGAAAUGGAUGCUUCUGCAAAAUCAAAACAAAUUUGAAAAACACUCACUUGUAUUUUUGGAGGAUUAACAAAGAAUUAAACUAAAUAUAAGCCUUAGAAGUUUGCUCCAAUUCUUUUCCAUGUCCAGGUUUUCAUUAAUUUCAUUUUAGAGCUGGUUAUAACUCCCUGAUUCCAUUCUAGUUUGACUGUGCCACUCCUGAGCUAGUUUUCCAAGUUGUGUUGUUUUGAUGUUUCUAAUUUGUGUCAUUUACCACAUGGAAUUUUAUGGACCUGUUUGCUUUUGAAAUAGGAUCCAUCAUUUAAAUGUUGUAUCAUUGUUCAAAAAUACUUUUUUUUAAUGCGAAGCUGUGCCUUCAGCUGCUACCAGCAGUAGUUAAUUUGCGGCACCUAAAUUCCCUGCUGAGUGGGUCAGCUGCUGCUGUUGCAGUCAGGUAACGGAGCAGGCAUCAUCCUUGGUGAAUCAAAUAGCAUGGCUUCUGAGGAGCAUAGGUGUAGUGCAGCAGGACAGUCAUGUACUCAUACUCUGACCCCUGUACUAGUGCUGGGCGAGAGUUCUGCAGCUACAAGAAUCAAUAAAAAUGUAUUGAUUUCUCUGUACUGUCAUAAAGCUUGUCUGCUC